UCUCCGUUGGUGAACCAGCGGAGGGAUCAUUACCGAGUUUACAACUCCCAAACCCAAUGUGAACGUUACCAAACUGUUGCCUCGGCGGGAUCUCUGCCCCGGGUGCGUCGCAGCCCCGGACCAAGGCGCCCGCCGGAGGACCAACCUAAACUCUUAUUGUAUACCCCCUCGCGGGUUUUUUUUAUAAUCUGAGCCUUCUCGGCGCCUCUCGUAGGCGUUUCGAAAAUGAAUCAAAACUUUCAACAACGGAUCUCUUGGUUCUG
rnacentral:misc_RNA from 1 species